AGACGAAAAAGGCGUGAUAUUGUCACUCACCUGAGUUCCGGAAAGGAGAAUAAUACCCAAAAGGCAGCUGUGAUCGUUCGUCGGAAGCACGGAAGUUCGGCGAACAGAAGUGUAUGUCAGACGGAAAGCGGCGUUAAGAGCAUCUCGGAACCAAUUCACGGAGCCACGGAAUCCGGGCAGCGCGAACAGAAACCCCACUGGCUGGGGUUUUUAUGCCGGAUUUUGUUAUUCGUGCCGGAUCGAAUUCGUCCGCCGUCGGCGCGCGAUCGUUGCUGUUUGGCUGGAGGAAAGGGGCGUGCUAGCCUCGGCGAGGGCAUCGUAGCUAUCGGUGGGGGACCGGCUUCGAAACCGUCGAGUGGUGUGCACUGGUGCAAGUUUGGUGACUGUGGUGUGUGGAGACAUCGUCAUCUUCGAAGAGAGCAUCGACUGCCUCGGAGGGACCCCAUCCAGCAACCCGGUCGUACUGGACGGCCAGAGGGGUCUCCAGCAGAGGAGUAUCGUCGGUGCGAACAUCGAGAGUGGCAGGCGAGACUCGCGGCGGCGAGAUGAUCGCAGCCCAGGCGAAACGUAGGGGGACGCCCCGUUAGGUGGUACCGUGAGUACUGAACAAAUUAGUUUGUAAGAUGGAAGAAGUAGAGAAGAGGAAGUAAGACGAAGAGAGUAAGAUGGAAGAUGUAGAGAAGAGGAAGUAAGACGAAGAGAGUAGGGAUGAGAAGGCAGUGAGAGGAAGAUUAGGGCAAAUGCCCCAAAUAUAUGUAUUGAUUUGAGAUUUGUGGCUUUAUUUGUCUUGUUGGUGCUUUAGCCCUCCAGUUUUGUUUGCUUUGUGUCCGCUUUGGUAGUUCUGCUCUACCCGCUACCGGAAACUCGCAAUAAGCUCAA